rnacentral:rRNA from 1 species
AUUGAACGCUGGCGGCAUGCCUUACACAUGCAAGUCGAACGGUAACAGGCCGCAAGGUGCUGACGAGUGGCGAACGGGUGAGUAAUGCAUCGGAACGUGCCCAGUUGUGGGGGAUAACUGCUCGAAAGAGCAGCUAAUACCGCAUACGACCUGAGGGUGAAAGCGGGGGAUCGCAAGACCUCGCGCAAUUGGAGCGGCCGAUGUCAGAUUAGGUAGUUGGUGGGGUAAAGGCCUACCAAGCCGACGAUCUGUAGUUGGUCUGAGAGGACGACCAGCCACACUGGGACUGAGACACGGCCCAGACUCCUACGGGAGGCAGCAGUGGGGAAUUUUGGACAAUGGGCGCAAGCCUGAUCCAGCAAUGCCGCGUGCAGGAAGAAGGCCUUCGGGUUGUAAACUGCUUUUGUCAGGGAAGAAAUCCUCUGGGUUAAUACCCCGGGGGGAUGACGGUACCUGAAGAAUAAGCACCGGCUAACUACGUGCCAGCAGCCGCCGCAGUAA